UACGUAGGGUGCGAGCGUUGUCCGGAAUUAUUGGGCGUAAAGAGCUCGUAGGCGGCCUGUUGCGUCCGCUGUGAAAGCCCCGGGGCUUAACCCCGGGUCGCAGUGGAUACGGGCAGGCUAGAGGUAGGUAGGGGAGAAUGGAAUUCCCGGUGUAGCGGUGAAAUGCGCAGAUAUCGGGAGGAACACCGGUGGCGAAGGCGGUUCUCUGGGCCUUACCUGACGCUGAGGAGCGAAAGCGUGGGGAGCGAACAGG
rnacentral:rRNA from 1 species